UACAAAGAAGAUUAGCAUGGCCAUAAAAUUGGAACGGUACAGAGAAGAUUAGCAUGGCCCCUGCGCAAGGAUGACACACAAAAAAAACAAUAUUUACAUUUUCUU
rfam:Triticum aestivum genome assembly, contig: Triticum_aestivum_CS42_TGACv1_scaffold_288363_4AL